CAAUAGCUUGUUAGCUUGCAUGGCUAUCAUGAGCUUGCUAAUGGUUCACUUUGCUAAAAUAAUGCUUUGGCUUGCUACAGUCUGAUGGUUCUAACUAUUGACAAGUAUUUUGUGUUGAUUAUAUACUAUCUUUGUUAUGUCCAUACAUGUGAAACCUUGAUUGUUGAAAUCCAUUUCUACCAGUUCUCUAAUACCAAAAUAUUUUUGUAAUUUCAAUCAAAGAGAAGCUAACUGGGUUAGCCGGAUCAUUUUCAGGAUGAGGUGACCUAAAUCACCAUAGCAACACAUCCAAAAACUUGAACCUGCAGCUGGAUUAGUUCACCACCCCCGGGGCAUAAGGGCAGCUCACUUCCUCAUUGAAGAAGAAGCGAUAUCAGUUAGAUUAAGGUUUUAUAGCGAGACAGUUCGCCGACAUCACAAAGACCCGUUAUGACGUCACUGUCUCUCACACUGUCUCACAUUCUGUGCAUGUCUGUACAGUGUUGCGAUGCCAAGAACAUUUGGAAAGCAGCUGCAUGUUGUGCUCUUCGUAAAGUUCUGUUGGUUUAUUUGGAGCCUAAUAAACUUCUGGAUGUGCCACGUUC